CCCCACCCCCCCCCUUCCGCGAGACCGAGAGAGAGAGAGAGAGGGAAGGAAGGAGAAAAGGGGGGGGGGGGCAGCCCAGCCCCCGCGUCGUCCGAAGCCGAAGCUGCGCAGCGGUCCCGGCUCCUUGCCCGCGGCGUCGCGGGAAGGGCCGGCCGCCGGGGUCGGCCGUCGCCGCGGGGCGUCCCGCCUCUCCCCUCGCCGCGCGGCGGGCGGAGGCGGGUUAGCCCCGCGCCUGCGCGGUGCCGUUCCCCGCCCCAGGCGCCGCCGGGCCGCCACGUCGCCGGCCGCCGCCGCCGCCGGCGCCCGUCGCCGCCACGCCGCCGCCGCCGGCACGCCCGUGAUGCCGCUCCCGCGGGUCGGAGCGGUGAAAGGAGCCGGGGCGGUCAGGGGUUGGCGGGGGCGGUCCCGCCGGCGGCGGGUCCGGGCGUCCGCGCGCUGGCGCGCCUUGCCGCGGCGCCGCCGUGGGUGGCGGC
rnacentral:misc_RNA from 1 species